GACGAACGCUGGCGGCGUGCCUAAUACAUGCAAGUAGAACGCUGAAGGAGGAGCUUGCUUCUCUGGAUGAGUUGCGAACGGGUGAGUAACGCGUAGGUAACCUGCCUGGUAGCGGGGGAUAACUCUUGGAAACGAUAGCUAAUACCGCAUAAUAGCAGUUGUUGCAUGACAACUGUUUGAAAGGUGCAAUUGCACCACUACCAGAUGGACCUGCGUUGUAUUAGCUAGUUGGUGGGGUAACGGCUCACCAAGGCGACGAUACAUAGCCGACCUGGGAGGGGGAUCGGCCACACUGGGAAUGGGGAACGGCCCAGACUCCUACGGGAGGCAGCAGUAGGGAAUCUUCGGCAAUGGACGGAAGGCUGAACGAGCAACGCCGCGUGAGGGAAGGAGGGUUUCGGAUCGGAAAGAUCUGUUGUAAGAGAAGAACGAGUGUGAGAGUGGAAAGUUCACACUGUGACGGUAUCUUACCAGAAAGGGACGGCUAACUACGUG
rnacentral:rRNA from 1 species